UAUGACCUGGUUUUGUGGGUUCUAAUUUUUCAUAUUUUUACUUUGUUUUCUAUUUCUCCUUCCUCUGCCCACUGUUGUAUAGAUUGCAUUUCCUUAAUUCUUAAUUCCCAUACUGGCUUUCUCCGGUUUGAAAUUAAAGCAGUAUACUUUUAUAUUUACCCUGAAAUGGUCAACAUGCAUGCUUAUCUUUGGAAAGACUAAAGUGGCUCAGUAUCUUUGUCAUCUUCCCAAACAAUACAAUUCUAUACUCUUCUCAUCUUCCAUAUUUUUGAGAUGUAGAAUUUAAUAUUCAUUUUUCUAAAAGUUUCACCAAAAUUGUCUUAAGGUUUCUUUUCAAUUCCAAUCAAUACCAAUCUAAAUGUAACAAGUUUUACCAACUUCUAUGUAUACAAUUACUUUCUAUCUAUUUCUUCUUCUGGGUUUUUCAUUGUUGAAGCACAUCUUUGGGGAGAAUUUUCAGCAAGCCUCUGUGAGCGGUAAACUCAGUCUUUCAUGUCUGAAAUUGCCUUUGUUUUUCCUUACAAUGAUUGCAUUGCCACCUGACAUUUACCAAUGCCAGAGACAAAUCUGUUGUCUUGUUCCUUUGCAAGUAACCUGCAGUGUUCCUCUGUUUUGGAUGGUUCAACUCUGUACCGCAGUGUGUCUAAGUGGGAAUUUGCUUUUAUUCGUGCUGCUUGAAACUUAAUAUAAAUCUUCAGUCUGAGCACUCACAUCUUUCUUUAAUUCUAGAAAACUCUCAUCAAAUUUAUUUAGAAGAUUGCAUCUUAACCAUUGUCUCAAUUCCCUGCUUUGAACUUCGAAUAGAUAAUGGCUGGAGCCUUGGCUUCUCUCCUCCACUUUUCAAAUUCUCUUUCAUAUUUUCUAUCUCUUUUCCUCACUGGUCUCUAUAUUCAGUCAUUUCCUCUUGUCUAUAUCUCAGUUAACUAAGUCCACUAAUUUACUAAGCCCACUAAUACUUUAUUCAAUUUAUAUAAUGUGUAAAAUAUCUGAUUUUUUAAAACACGAAAUUGUAUUUUUAAGAAAAUCUUGUUAUUAUUUUAUAUUUUUUCCUUUCUCUUUGAUAUUUCAAAUCUCUUCAGAAGUUCACUUUUGGAAUAUAGGCCUCCUGUUUUUAUGCUGACGACCUCUCGUUAGGAAUUCUCUCCCAUCCAUAUCGUGUGAAAUUGGACUCUAUCAUUCUUGGCAUGUGCUUGGAAUCCCAGUUCUGUGUGGAUCCUGUUGUGUCUUUUGAACAAUGCGCAGUUUUUCUAGUUUCCACUUCACAGAGGAAGUACAAGGGUUCAAACAUUUGCCCUUUUACCAACUCUCAGGGUGGUUCUGGGC
rnacentral:lncRNA from 10 species